rnacentral:misc_RNA from 1 species
GGGUCCAAUGGUUGUACACAAACGCACAUUAUUUACAGGAUGAAUAAAAAAAAAUUACAUCAGUAGUAUCAAUGGAAAAAUGUCCAUUGCAGCAAAAAUUUUGUUCUUAAACUAGCUAUCAGUAAGAGUAUAGAGACUUCAAAAGUAUUGAGCCUGCUGUUCUCCUCCAACCACAAAUCUCUACCUGUAUUGAGCCUGCUACUGCUUGGGAAGCUUUCUAUAACUAAAAAAGCCACAUUGUAGCAGAAAGCGAUAUCUGUUUCAGCAUCACUUUUUUCAAGGGUUUUCUCCUCCUUUUUGAAAGUUGUUGAUUGUCAAAAUCCUUUCUGGGUAGGCCAUUCGCAAAAAAUAUGUUUGGAAGGUACAAGCAUCCUCCUUUACCUCUCUCUAGCUCACUUCACAAUUAGUCAACAAUAAUCUAGAUUGGCAAUUCAUGUUAAAUCGACCUAAAUUUUCUCCGCUUAACCUGACCCUCGUUAUCCCUUCAAAAGAUCAAGAAAAGAAGAAAAAACAUCCGCCUUCCCAUAUUAGGAUUCCUUCACAUGUGGUACGAUCUCAAAUCAACCUUCUCAAAGAUAACUGCAAACAAGGACUCAUCAGAGCUUCCUUGGUUGCUGGUACAACAGGCUAGGAAGGCAGUCUUGGAGGAAAGACCACUCAAGUCACAACAAAAGAAGAAGAGAAUCACCAUUACCCACACACAUGAAAAAGAAGAAACCUUCCACUCAUUUCUACUAAAUAUCCAUAACCUUUGAGCAAUUUGCUUCACUAUUCUUCUCACUUCUCAGUCAUCCUCCCAAAGUCAUCUGAGCCAUAUUUAGCCCAAACAAGGUCAAUAAAUGUCUCUACCACAAUCCCCCAAGAAUUUGAGACGCGAAAAAUCAGAGAACAAUUCAUAUUUUGUGAUUUUGCACCUUCUUAUGGAUUCUUGAAGGCUUUGUUGGCACCUUCGGGAGGAUAUCCUUCCACCUGCUGUCUUGCCACAAUUUUAGCGGGUGUUGAAUUUGAGCACUUUGAGAUCUUUUAAGUUUAUACUUCAAGUUCUAACCAAUGGAAAGUAACUAGAACUAAGAAGUUUAAGAGAGAGAAAAUCUGCAUAAGCAUAAUGCACUUUGACCAGACAAUGCAAAUCAACGAGAAAACAAGGUGGCAUGUCAUGUUUGCUUAACAGUCAUUGGAAAAUCAGAGAAAUUUCUGUUGAAUUUGAUGAUAUUAACAAUGUCCAAGUCUUGUUUCAGCCAUUGCUUAUUGACUGAAACUUUAUUGAGAUUGAUAUUUUCUGUUCCUAUAGUAAAGGAAUUGAAGUUUUGUCUUCUGUUUUACAAGUCACUUUUGGUGUGCUAUUUAAUUAUGACAGAUGUGCAAACAUAUUUGAAGCAAUGGUUGGAGAACUAAGGGCUGCAAAGAAGCAUAAAGUUGUUUCAUAUGAUGGUGAGCUAUUGCUACAGUGAACUCAUGACAAUGUGGAAAUCACACUCAGGCCAUCACCUCAGCCGGCAGUUGUGAAGAAUUAAUGAAAUCUGGAUUUCCUGCCAGCAAAGCUUGUUCUGCCAUCAGAUGCAGUAAUGAUAAUACAUAAUUAAUGUUCUUUGUGACAAGAAACUUUCUUACUUUUGUAUCUUGGUUUGUCUCUGUUGAGUUUCUACAUGAUAAAGACGAGAGAGAUCUUGGAGAAUAGCACCUACAUAUAUGUGUUUGCUUCUUUCUUCAAAUUUUUUGCCUCUCUUCUUUUUGAGUUUUCAGUAUUUUGACAUCAAAGGCAAUUCUAGAUACAUAUUCAACCACUAAAGAAACUUAAUGUAUCAAAAUGUCAUGCCCCAAGAAGAUUGAACUGCCUAAGCUUCAUUAAUUAAGCGAUACAUGUCACAACAUAACGCGCCUUUUAUGUUUGAAAUGAUCCUUUUAACCCUUCUACAUCCUCACGAGUCACCACCUAAUGGGAAAACCCUUCAAGAUAAAACUGCAGGAAAAAAAAAUCUCAUUUUAUAUGAAAAAAAUUCACAUUUUUUAAUACCCAAUACCAUUUAUACACAAAAGCUAACAUUAGAGUUCUCUUUGAUAGAUGGCAUUCUGAAAUACCUCAAAUGUUUGCAAGAUAUGGUAGGAAGACUAUUCUCUCUCAUCUUUGGCUCCCCUUCUCAACAUGUUCAAUAUAAACAGGAACAAUCUCAUGAAUACUCUGAUCUUAAAUAGUAGUGAAAAACUAAGUGCCUUAAUCUCCUUUCUCAAUUUGUUUUCUCUGCAUUGAAAAUGCCAAAAUAAAACUCUUAUCAUAUUCUCCCUAUCCUAUUGUCCUUCAUUGAAACCCGAUUCCCAUGAAAAUCCUCACCAUCAAUCCAUUAAAAACUCCUAAGAUCACUUGUUUCUCUCUUUGCUACUUUCCCUAUGGGACAUUCCUAAAAAACGAAAGGGCAAAAGGGAAACAAUAAAAGUAAUGCAAGGAAGGGAAAGAGUAAAGCAGGCUCUAUCUAAUGAAAGCAGAAGUUGCAAAAUAUUCAAGGAAUAGAUUCUUAUAAGAGGAAGGGGUUACUGAGAAAGGACAUUAUGAUCAUUUUAAAAAUUAAAACAAAUAUUGUUGGGAAUCCCAAUAACAAUAAUUUUUGGUUGAUUAGGGAAUUAGGAAUUGAAUAAAAUUCUUGAAAUCUAAUUCUUUUUUAUUAUGAUAUUUUUUUAUUUGUAUAAUUUGAAUUAUAAGUUGCAAUAAUAUCCACUUUCAAUUAUGAUUUUUAACACUUGACAUUAAAUUUUAUUUAAUUAUUUAAAAAUUAAAUAUGGAAUUUAAUUCUUGAAAACUAGACACCCAUUUUCAAGACAAAUCAAACAUGCUGUAAGCAUAAGAAUAAUGCCAUCUAAAAGCCAUUUAAUGAUAGUGAUCCUUUCUUUCAUUGCCAACGCUACUUUUUUUUCUAUUUUUAUGAAGACGAAAUUUUCUGUAUACAGAUUAUUUAGAUUUCAUAAUUUAUCAUUCAAGCCUUCAAGAUGUUUCUUUAGGAUAUAGGUAAUGACUUGUUCAUUCAUCAUUAAGUUUCAGAAUUCCCUAUUAAAAGUGGGUUGACAUUUAUUUCAGUUGCUGUGCUUUCUAGGGUGUCAUUAUUUCUUGCCCAUUAUAUUUGCGCUUAUUUGGUUUUGCCAUAAAAUGAGCUUUCUAUAAUUCAUCAGUUAGCAGUCAAUUGAAGAACAUGUUUAUAUUGUAAAAGACAGUUGUCUCAGAAUCCCUCUUUGCUUGACAUCUCUUGUACCUAUAAUGCUUGGUGACCCCUUUGGAUCUUCAAAUCCUCGUGUAGUUUUAAACUUCAAUUGUUUAAUCAAGAAGUGAAGGCAAUAAACAAAUUUGAUGUGUCCAGCAAAUUAUGCUCACUUGAUACAUAGUUCCUUGUCCAUCAUUAACAAAAUAGAGAUUGCUUCAGAGAUGGAUAAAGACAUUUUAAAUUUAAUGGAGAUUGCUUCUUUAGUCUUUUGCUCCAUAUGCCUUAUCAACACUAAAAGAUGCUUAACUCGAACCAGAUGAAUUAUAUGGUAAUCCAACUAAAUGUUUUCUAAUCUAGCACUUCUUUGGGUAUUUGAAAGUUCCACAGGAUUACACGUUUGACCACUACUAAAACAGUUGAGCGUUCUAUACAUUUGUUGUACUAGGAAAUUCCUAACAAUACUCUGAGGAACUUCACUGCUAUGACCAAAUGAAACUCGAGAUAGGAAAAUGUGUUCGGGAAACUCUGAGGUGAUUUACCUUGUCUGCCUAUUUGUUUCUGUUGAAUCUCCAAUGCUGAGAAGAUUUCUUCAUGUGAAACAGUUAUAUAUAUAUAUAUAGAACAAAAGGUUUUGUUUUGUAUCUCUCAGUCACAAGCAUUUGGCUUGCAACCUAAGAUGUAGAAGUAGAACCUAUUUGAAGCUCCGGUAGGAGCACUAAGAGCAGUGACAAGCUAAUGCUCCAAGAAAUCACUCUCAAGCCAUCACCAGCAAGAAGCAGGAACAAGAAUUGUAGCAUUUCCGCUAUUGAAGAAACAAUGGAUUAUAUUACCUGUGUGGGACUCAGAACAUUUCCACUAUCGAUGAAACAAAGUGUUGUGUUGAUAUUAUUGACAGUCUGUAGAAUUGUAGUAUUUGUUCAUUUUGUCUCAAGUAAGUCAGUGCUUCACCUUCCAUUUCAUGUGUAAAUCUACUUGAAUUUAAUGUAUUCUCAAUGAAAUGUGCAGAAAGAUCAUGGACAGAAGCACAUUCUUAGCACUGCAGCAUUUGUCAAACCAGGGAAAUUAUAGUUGGCCAGAACCAUGGUAGGAUACAGUAAAUGGUUAUGAAAAGUUCCAUCAAGUACCAGAAACCAGAAACUAUGAAACAAAUUGAUGAAUAAUCAGGGCUAAAUUGCUUAUGUUGGAAAGGACAUGGUUCAGAUUAAUAACUAUUGUACACAAUUUGGUCAAAAGAAAACCCACAGUAACAGAGCGCUAAAUGGAAAUUUUCUUGUUUAUGAAACUAACAAAUCAUAAUCAAGCAUGUUUUGUAUCAUGAUUGUCCAGUGAGGAUAAAUGCUUGAAGGAGACUUUGAGCUGCUUGGGUUUCAUCAGGUGUCCCAGAUAUAACAACAAUCCUGUCACUUGUUCCUAGACAAGGUUCAUGCACUAUAACCUUGGCACCUGAGAUCUGUCUUAAACGAGCCAGAUUGCUACCAUUCUCCCCAUAUACAGAGCCAAUAACAUUUUCAGGAACUACAAUCUCCAUAGUUGUAUUUGUCACAAAAGCAGACUUGCUUCCACUGCCAAGUUCUAAGCCACCUUUAAAAGAAGCCAAUCCUCUACUAGCAUCUGUUAUGGCCCUUGGAUUUACUCCAGCUAUUGUCUGUGAUGCCCAUAGCCUUGGUGAAGGAGGGCGAUCUAAACCGUGGGAAAGUCCAUGAUGAUCCAUACUUGAAAGGGUAGCGUGUCGAUUUAGAAUAUGAGUCACACCAGCGGAUGAAUGCAAAUUAACAGGGGUGGGACCCCUCGGUGGCUCCUUCAACACAUCCCUUAAUGGAUCCCUCAAUGUAUCCCUUAAUGGAUCCCUCAAUGUAUCUCUUAAUGGAUCCCUCAACAGAUCUCUCAAUGGAUCCUUUAACGGCUCCCUCAACACAUCCCUCAAUGGAUCCCUCAAUACAUCUGGCAAUGGAUCCCUCAAUACAUCCCUCAUUGUAUCUCUCAAUGGCUCCCUCAGCCUUCCAUAGGGACUUGUCUCAGUUAUUACAGAAGUGCUCCUCGUUCCAGGAAUAGUCAAUGAACUGGAGAAAAGGUUAUCUCGAAGUCUGCCAGUUACAUGGUAUAUUGCAUCCUUCACAUUCUUAAACUCUCCUGAAAUCUGCACCACUUGAUCAUUCUCUGACACACACUUAGGGACCUGAUCUCCUCCUAAAACUCUUAUGCCAGUACCAGUUGUCUUACGCAUUUCAGAUAUUAUAAUGCCUCCUUUUCCCAACAAACAGCCAACAUGGUUUGAUGGCACUACAAGCCUUGCAGUAACAGGACACCCCUUACUAGAGCUUAAAUCUAGGCCCUUCUCAAUACCAGCCUCCACAUACCUUGAGAAAACAAGAACAACAGUCUUUUGUGCUGCCGAGUGAUGAGACUCUGGAUUCUCUGGUGCAGUAACAGUGAUCAGCCGUUCAUCACACUCAGCUACAGUUGAUCCAAUAGUAAUAGAGGCACCUGUUUCAUUCUGGAUAGCCUUGAUAAUGGUGCCUCCCUUUCCAAUAACACCCCCAACCCUAUCAUUGGAACAAAGAAUUCUAAAAACCACUUCCUGUUGCAAUGGUUUUGCAUUCAGUGUGGGCACUCGGUCAGAUUCCAAUGACAAAGAAGGAAUCCUUGAAGCGUAAAUUGUGGUGCUACUCGGCAUGUUAGGUAGAACCAAUUUACGCUGUGAAAGAAAAUCUACAUGUACUUCAGGCACAGGUUCUUCAGGAAUUGCCUCGGCAGGUUUGCUGCCGGUCAUCCUUGUUUUAUCAACUGGUUGACAAUCUUGAAGACAGCGAGAAACUGCUACAAGUGCUUUCUUUACAGCCAAAACAUCUCCCUCAAUCUCGACCAUCUCCUCCGUUGACCCAGCACACACAGGCAACUUAUCGAUCAAAACCCUAAUUUUAACCCCACAAUCUUUCCUUAUCUUCUCAACAACCUUCCCUCCUUUCCCAAUAACCGACCCCACCUGUUUAGCCUCCGCCAACAAUCUACACGAAACCACCCCACCCGCCACACUCAUCCCAUCACUCUCCGCCGCCACCUCCAAAAUCCUCUCAAAAACCCUAACCAAAGCCUCCUGCGCCUUGGACACAUCAAGCUCCUCCUGCCCACCAACAUCACCCUUAACAAUCCCACUAUUAUCAUUAAAAACUGACACUUUAGAAACAAUCGCAUUCUGGGCAAUAAUCAUAAUAACCCGAUCAGGCGAUUCAGUGGGUGCAUCCUCAACACGUAUCUUAGCGCCCGUGAGCUGCUGAAGCUGCUUGAUUACGUUGCCAGACUUCCCAAUAACACCGCCGAUGCGGGAGGCGUGGCAGAGGAGGCGAAAGGAGGCGUGACCUGGAGGGACAGGAAGGGGAGGAGGAGGGGGUUUAGACCUCUUACUGGAGGGUCCAUUGACACAGGUGGGGUCGGGCAUAGUAGUAGUGUACUGUAUAGGUCGUUUCGCCGGAGGAUAAAGGAAGGUACUGCCCAUAAUCUCUGGCGAAGAAAUUCAGAGGAAAAUUGUGGAUUUGUAGAUAUAUAUAAUUGAGACGCGUGUGAAGGUGUGUUUCUUUGUCUUCUCUGCGUGGAAGGGGAGUGGGGUUACGCAGCUGAAGAGACAGACGGAGAAGAGGAAGGGGAAGAUUCUGGAGACUUUUGUGCUAAAGUGCGCCGACGGUGCCUUGGUGUUGAUGUGGGUUUGCUAUUUGUGCACGUCACGAGAGAAAUACGCCGCCAUAGAGAGAGUAGCGUAGUAGAGGUGGACACGAGAUCACUCAAAUCUGAA